rnacentral:rRNA from 1 species
GACGAACGCUGGCGGCGUGCUUAACACAUGCAAGUCGAACGGAAAGGCCCUGCUUUUGUGGGGUGCUCGAGUGGCGAACGGGUGAGUAACACGUGAGUAACCUGCCCUUGACUUUGGGAUAACUUCAGGAAACUGGGGCUAAUACCGGAUAGGAGCUCCUGCUGCAUGGUGGGGGUUGGAAAGUUUCGGCGGUUGGGGAUGGACUCGCGGCUUAUCAGCUUGUUGGUGGGGUAGUGGCUUACCAAGGCUUUGACGGGUAGCCGGCCUGAGAGGGUGACCGGCCACAUUGGGACUGAGAUGCGGCCCAGAGGCAUACGGGGGGCAGGAGUGGGGAAUAGUGCACAAUGGGCGGAAGCCGGAUGCAGCAACGCCGCGUGCGGGAUGACGGCAUUCGGGUUGGAAACCGCUUUCGCCUGUGACGAAGCGUGAGUGAGGGUAAUGGGUAAAGAAGCACCGGCUAACUACGU